AGUGAACGCUGGCGGUAGGCCUAACACAUGCAAGUCGAACGGCAGCACAGUAAGAGCUUGCUCUUACGGGUGGCGAGUGGCGGACGGGUGAGGAAUACAUCGGAAUCUACUUUUUCGUGGGGGAUAACGUAGGGAAACUUACGCUAAUACCGCAUACGACCUACGGGUGAAAGCAGGGGAUCUUCGGACCUUUCGCGAUUGAAUGAGCCGAUGUCGGAUUAGCUAGUUGGCGGGGUAAAGGCCCACCAAGGCGACGAUCCGUAGCUGGUCUGAGAGGAUGAUCAGCCACGCUGGAACUGAGACACGGUCCAGACUCCUACGGGAGGCAGCAGUGGGGAAUAUUGGACAAUGGGCGCAAGCCUGAUCCAGCCAUACCGCGUGGGUGAAGAAGGCCUUCGGGUUGUAAAGCCCUUUUGUUGGGAAAGAAAAGCAGCAGGUUAAUACCCCGCUGUUCUGACGGUACCCAAAGAAUAAGCACCGGCUAACUUCGUG
rnacentral:rRNA from 1 species